AUGGCUUUUCUUUUGCUUGGUCAAGUCAUGCAAUUUUUCGCUCUAUCCCACGAGAAUCUAUAUUUUUUUAGGUUUUUUUUUUUUCCCCUCGCUCCGCCUCUGAUAAGGAAAUGAGCCUUGUCUAGACGUCCAGAGCACCCCCCUCCUUCCCCGUGGGCAGGGAAUGGGUCUCAUCUCCGGCCGCCUAAUUCUCGCUACGGCUCUCUCCCCCGCCGGGGCCGGACUGGGGAGACACAGGGAUCAGGGAACCCGAGUGCGGAAAGGGAGAGAGCCCGGCUCCCCUGGGCUGCUUUGCCGUCCCUGCCCAUGGCCCUCUCCGGCGACGGGACGGCUUCCAGAGACCAGGGGGUGGCAGGGGAACAUACCACCACCACAGUGCUCUUGAUGCCUCUCUGCUUUCCCAACCAAGUGGAUGUAUUUAAUAACGUCCGCGCGCUCUUCCCAGGGGAUGCGAACCGGAGCUGCCAGUCCCCGCCGCACCCAGGCACAGAGCGGCUGUCACCACUGUACCGACCCCCUCCCGAGAGCAGAGUUACUGACCCUGCUGCUCCCCAACAGGGCGGUUGCCUCGUUUGAACCCAUUUCAAUUAAAUCCUUCGUUAUUGUUUAUCCGUUUAUGAAGAACACGCAAUCUACACUGCAGUUUGUUUUUAAUCUAGCAAAUCCAUGUGUUUGUCGCGGGUGUCAGCCUGCUGUGGCAGAGACAUUUCAUUAGGCUUCAUUAUUCUUGUAAAGUACUUUUUUCGCCCCUUCCUUGGUCUAAAAAGCUCCUUACUCUCUUGUGCGCCAGCAAAAAACAGCGUGUGGUAAUCGCUGCACACCUCGUCGCGUUCGUUCGGUUCCCAGCUUUAAUCAGGAUUAGGGCUCAGUUUCGCCGCCAGGUUUCAAACAGGGAGCUUGCGGCCCCCCUCCAAAACCCCUCUCUGAUCCCUGAAAAGCCAAGGAGUAAACCCGAUUCCGUGAAAACCAUGAGAACCGCUUCUUCCCGGCCCUUUCCUCACCAAGACAAAAUCGCGACGGCAACGACACACGAGGGACAAAAAACCCGCACAAACCCGCCGGGCAACCUAGGGUCCAGAGGGAUGGUUUCAGCCCCCACGCCGCACACUUCUCGCCGCAGAGACAAACCUGGGCUGUGGUACCCGUGGGGUUGCCCCCCGGAAAUGGGCCCGGCACCGAGCCGAGCUGGCACACGCUCUUCUCCCGGCUGUCCCUUGGGAUAAUCUGACAUUUGCAUCCCAUCCCUCCUCCUCCGUUACUUCCCCGUGUCCCCUCCGGAUCCGUCGCCUGUGCGGAGGGCAAGAUCACCUUUCCCUUUAAUUAGGAACCUAUAGGUGAGGGGUGCUGCUGCCGAAACCCUCCCUGCCGCCGUCCCACCCUGACCGCUGCUGGCCUGGUGCUGCCCGGAAUCUGUGUCUGACCCUCCAGCCCACACCCCCUCUCCAAGAUGAAAACAGUUUCUCCAGUAAAAAGAAUGGUGUUUAUUCGCUCGGGCGGAGUCUCAGGAUCGCCCGUUCGUGCCUUGCGAGCGCACCGCUACUUUACAAAACGACGGCUACAGCACUACCCGGCUCCGGCUUGGGCUCUGCUCCUCUGCAACCUCACGCGAUUAUCAGCCCGGCUUUCAGGAGCUUUUUUCUCCUCCGCUGCACAUAAUUCUAUUGGUCUGUCCGCCGGAUUCCUCCUCUCUUUGCGCUCCCCGAUUUCGGAGCAGCCCCCGCUCCCAGUGCUCUUGCUGCGGCAGGGACAUCGCUCCACUGCCGCCGCUCCACGCUCUCCCCUUCACGGAAAGAGCCGCGCCAGCAAGGCAGAAGCCCACGUACCCGAGAUCCAAUUUCACAACAAAAACAUCUCAAUGUCACCUACGGCGAGAAGGUGGCUUAUUGGAGCAAAAUGCGAGGCAUUUUAAACCCAUUAGGCAUCUCCCAGAUGCAAAUCCAAUGGUGGAAAGAGAAAGGCUCUAUUAAGACCCGAGGGCUGACAAUUAGAUUAUAGUCCAAUUGCCAGUGGAUAAUGUGCUAAAAGCUUUCCCAUUUAGUGUAACUCCUCGCUGAAAAUUAUUCACACUUUACAGGCUGCCGCGCUCCUGAACGGGAGACGUCUUUGUCCGCGUAGAGCGCGAACAGCCGGGCAUAACUCGACACAGACACACGGACAGAUGCACACGCAGGAGGUCUCGCAGCCAGGAGGAUCACUGAGCACAUCCUUCCCGAUCCAGAGCCGUGUGGCAAAUCUGUUCGUGGUACAAGCUGACGAGCGCACGCACCGCCGCUACAAAGGCGCCAGGACAAGUGCCCCAUGGGCGCACAGGCACCUCUUCCAACGUGACAUACUGUGUGUAUUUAGCAUGGUUUGUGUAGAGCAUAGCUUGGAAGAUCAUCGAGUUCUCAAGCACACAUUGCCGCGUCAGCUGCACACAAUUAGACUUUAAUGUUCCUUCAUGUGCAGAAAAUACACUAUUUUCCGUAUAAACCUAAAGUUUGUAUUUAAUGACAGGGAUGACAUUUUCAUUAAAAAUAAAUAUCUGA